rnacentral:rRNA from 1 species
GACGAACCGUGCGACCGUUAUUCGGAAUCACUGGGCUUAAAGCGCGUGUAGGCGGAUGGGGACGUCGGUCGCUGAAAGCCCCCGGCUCAACCGGGGAACGGGCGCCGAAACGCCCCGUCUGGAGGGACGUAGGGGGACCUGGAACUUCCGGUGGAGCGGUGAAAUGCGUUGAGAUUGGAAAGAACACCGAUGGCGAAGGCACUUUACUGGGCUAUUACUAACACUCAGAGACGAAAGCUAGGGUAGCAAAUGGG